CCUACGGGAGGCAGCAGUAGGGAAUCUUCCGCAAUGGACGAAAGUCUGACGGAGCAACGCCGCGUGAGUGAUGAAGGUCUUCGGGUCGUAAAGCUCUGUUGUCAGGGAAGAACAAGUACCGGAGUAACUGCCUGUACCUUGACGGUACCUGACCAGAAAGCCACGGCUAACUACGUGCCAGCAGCCGCGGUAAU
rnacentral:rRNA from 1 species